AAAUCCUGUUUGAAUAAGGUCUAGCCAACCAGCAAUAGCGAGUCUUGAGUUGUCAUCAGUAAUGGUGGGAGCUAAGCGUAGACAGCGAGAAAGUAGGGUUGAAAUGCUAUUGAGCCUCGAAAUUUUAUUAAUCUAGAUGGCCGACGUAUUAAUUACUGCGGAAGGCAACAUCACAUAGGUCAAGAUGGCAAGAACUAUGUGGCACUACGGGGUCAAAGGGC
rnacentral:ncRNA from 1 species